CGUCGUGAGGCGGAAUCCGAAGGAAGCCGGAUGUAGAGGCUGAGAAGUGCCUCUGCGGGCAAAGCUCCGGACUGACGAACAGAAAUCGCAUAGAAGGCAGACUUGGGACGGACGACUCUGCCAAACAAGAAGAAGUCCAAUGCACCCGAAUUCCAUACAGUAGAUGCGGCGGUUACGGAAUGAAGGUUAUUG
rnacentral:ncRNA from 1 species